rnacentral:rRNA from 1 species
AAUAGAUACCCGGGUAGUCCACGCCGUAAACGAUGGAUACUAGCUGUCGGGAGCAAUCUCGGUGGCUAAGCGAAAGUGAUAAGUAUCCCACCUGGGGAGUACGAACGCAAGUUUGAAACUCAAAGGAAUUGACGGGGGCCCGCACAAGCGGUGGAGCAUGUGGUUUAAUUCGAUGAUACGCGAGGAACCUUACCAAGGCUUAAAUGGGAAACGACGGAUCUGGAAACAGGUCUUCCUUCGGGCGUUUUUCAAGGUGCUGCAUGGUUGUCGUCAGCUCGUGCCGUGAGGUGUCAGGUUAAGUCCUAUAACGAGCGCAACCCCUGUUGUUAGUUGCCAGCGAGUCAAGUCGGGAACUCUAGCAAGACUGCCGGUGCAAACCGUGAGGAAGGUGGGGAUGACGUCAAAUCAUCACGGCCCUUACGGCCUUGGGCUACACACGUGCUACAAUGGACGGUACAGAGAGCAGCCAGUGGGUGACCACGAGCGAAUCUACAAAACCGGUUCUCAGUUCGGAUCGGAGUCUGCAACUCGACUCCGUGAAG